rnacentral:rRNA from 1 species
UACGUAGGGUGCGAGCGUUAUCGGAAUUACUGGGCGUAAAGCGUGCGCAGGCGGUUCGUUGUGUCGGCGGUGAAAGCCCCGGGCUCAACCUGGGAAUGGCCGUUGAAACUGGCGAACUGGAGUGUGGCAGAGGGGGGUGGAAUUCCACGUGUAGCAGUGAAAUGCGUAGAGAUGUGGAGGAAUACCGAUGGCGAAGGCAGCCCCCUGGGCCAACUACUGACGCUCAUGCACGAAAGCGUGGGGAGCAAACAGG